ACCUAGCUGGCUCAAUCAAGGGAGCAUGUAACUCUUGACCUCAGGGUUGUGAGUUCGAACCCCACGUUGGGUA
rnacentral:tRNA from 1 species